rnacentral:rRNA from 1 species
AGAGUUUGAUCCUGGCUCAGAUUGAACGCUGGCGGAAUGCUUUACACAUGCAAGUCGAACGGCAGCACGGGGGCAACCCUGGUGGCGAGUGGCGAACGGGUGAGUAAUACCUAGGAACAUGUCCAGUAGUGGGGGAUAACGCAGCGAAAGCUGUGCUAAUACCGCAUACGCCCUACGGGGGAAAGCGGGGGAUUCGCAAGGACCUCGCGUUAUUGGAGUGGCCUAGGCCUGAUUAGCUAGUUGGUGAGGUAAAGGCUCACCAAGGCGACGAUCAGUAGCUGGUCUGAGAGGAUGAUCAGCCACACUGGAACUGAGACACGGUCCAGACUCCUACGGGAGGCAGCAGUGGGGAAUUUUGGACAAUGGGGGAAACCCUGAUCCAGCCAUUCCGCGUGAGUGAAGAAGGCCUUCGGGUUGUAAAGCUCUUUCAGGAGGGAAGAAACGGUUGCAGCUAACACCAGCGACUAAUGACGGUACCUCAGAAGAG